rnacentral:rRNA from 1 species
GCAAAUCAAUAUAAAUUGAAGUUAUAAUUUAUUUAUUAAUUUUUUUUUGUUGAUAAAUUAUUUUAUUAAAAAUAAUUAUAUAAUUUUUUGUUUUAGUAUUGUUUUAUGAAAUAAUAAUUUUAAUAAUAGUGUAUUAGUAUUGUGAAAUAAUAUUGAAAUAUUUUGAAAAAUUUUUAUUAAAAAAGAAAAUUUAAUUUAUUGUACCUUGUGUGUCAGGGUUUAUUAAAUAAUUAAUAAUUAUUUAUUAAUCUCGAUUUUAUAAGAGUUAAUGGUUUAUUGAAUUCAAUGUGUUAAAAUUAUUUUAAAUAAAUUAUUAGAAAUGAAAUGUUAUUCGUUUAUAAAGUUAUCUAGUUUUUUUAGAAAUAAAUUUAAUUUAUAAGUUUUUGAUUGUUUAAUUAAUUUUUUUUAGUUGAAUAAAUUAUUGAUUUUAAUAUUUUAAGGGAUAAGCUUUAAGAUAAAUUUUUAAAAAUUAAUAAUUUAAUUGUUAAAUGUAUGCUUAUAAUUAGCAAUCAUUUUUAAGUUUGUUAUAAAUUAUUUUUUUUUAUAUAUGUAUUAUAUUUAUAUAAAAAAUAUAUUAUUUAUUAUAUUUUAAUGAUUUUAUAAAAAUUUUUUUAAUAAUAGUUUUUAAUAAUUAAUAAUGGUAAAAUUAGUAUAUAAAUUAUGUUAAUUUAAUUAUUUAUGUUAAGUUUGUAUAAAGAAUUCGGCAAAUAUAUUACUCGCCUGUUUAACAAAAACAUGUCUUUUUGAAUUUUCUUUAAAGUCUGGCCUGCCCACUGAUUUAUUUUAAAUGGCCGCAGUAUUUUAACUGUGCAAAGGUAGCAUAAUCAUUAGUCUUUUAAUUGAAGGCUGGUAUGAAUGGUUGGACGAAGUAUAAGCUGUUUCGUAUAAAUUUUUAUUAGAAUUUUAUAUUUUAGUUAAAAAGCUAAAAUAUUAUUAAAAGACGAGAAGACCCUAUAAAUCUUUAUAAUAUGUGUAAAUUUAAUCUUUUAGUAUAUUUUUGUUAUUAUUAUUAUAUAUUAUUUUAUUGGGGUGAUAUUAAAAUUUAAUUAACUUUUAUUUUUUAGAAUCAUUAAUUUAUGAAUUGUUGAUCCAUUAUUGAUGAUUAUAAGAUUAAGUUACUUUAGGGAUAACAGCGUAAUUUUCUUUGAGAGUUCUUAUCGAUAAGAGAGUUUGCGACCUCGAUGUUGGAUUAAGAUAUAUUUUUAGGUGUAGUAGCUUAAAUAUUAAGUCUGUUCGACUUU